GGAAACACAGAAUACCUACACAACCCAUGGUCAACACUGGGAAGUUUGGGUGCUCUGUACAUCUGAAAAUGCAGGCCCUUGGGGUGCUGUGUUCCUUGCUGUAACCUGCAGGCAGCACUACUGGUUGGCACAAGAGUCUGAAACAGCAUGGGGAAAUCAGAACAGGCCUUUGUUAUCUCAGAGCUUUGUAUGUGACUGCUCUGCAGAAAGCAGAGUUGUCAUUCCCCAAAUAUGUUUACAUCUCUGUUCUCUGUAGGUGUUAGAAAGAUCUGCAAGCGGGAGAGCGAGCAUCUGUGUGAAAACAAACCUGUCUUAUGCAGUCCUCCAAGUCACCAGAGCUGCUGGAAUCCAACAAAGGUUUUCUACAUACGGUGGUGAACCAGCAGGUUUAUUUAUACUAAAGAAGUUUCUCAUCCAUUAUUGAUGCCUAAAUCAGCUCUGGUCUUUCCCUGGCCUGCAACUCCUCUAAUGUGAGAGUGUGUAUGAAGCAUCUUUGAGUUCAGCAUGGAUGGUUUGCUUACCAUCAAUUAUGCAUGUGGAAGAAGCCCUACAAAGGAAAGAGAAUCAAGCCAGCAAGAAAGUGCUUCCCAUUUUCUAAGUCCCACGGUGCUUUUUAAGCUCCUGUUCUGCUCUCGCAUGGAAGAAUCUCCUAUUCUGCAGUCCAGUCCUCCUGGACCAAUAGGUCAACCAGCCUGGUGAGCUCCACAAGGCCAUUGACACAGAGCAGCUGUUGGCUGCUUUCUUCUCCUGGUAUUACAGUGGAUUGAACUGAACUGUGGCUGCUUCGCAGGAGCAUAGCUAAAAGGACAUCUAUACAGCAAUAAAAACAGAGCCGCCCCAGCCAUUACAUCAAGGAGUAUCAGAUCCUUUGAUGGAAACAUGAGUGUCUCUAACCUGGAGGUAAUCGAGGGCUGCAUCUGACACACGUGGUACUGCCAUCUCGUAAAAUGUCAUGGAUGCUUGACCUGAGAUGCUCAAGCCACAGUUGGUUCCUCAGGGUGGGAUUGAUGCAGUGGUGGGAGGUUGGGGAGGUGAU